UGGGGAAUUUUGGACAAUGGGCGCAAGCCUGAUCCAGCCAUGCCGCGUGCAGGAUGAAGGCCUUCGGGUUGUAAACUGCUUUUGUACGGAACGAAAAGGUGCCUUCUAAUAAAGGGCGCUCAUGACGGUACCGUAAGAAUAAGCACCGGCUAACUACGUGCCAGCAGCCGCGGUAAUACGUAGGGUGCGAGCGUUAAUCGGAAUUACUGGGCGUAAAGCGUGCGCAGGCGGUUUUGUAAGACAGAGGUGAAAUCCCCGGGCUCAACCUGGUAACUGCCUUUGUGACUGCAAGGCUGGAGUGCGGCAGAGGGGGAUGGAAUUCCGAGUGUAGCAGUGAAAUGCGUAGAUAUGCGGAGGAACACCGAUGGCGAAGGCAAUCCCCUGGGCCUGCACUGACGCUCAUGCACGAAAGCGUGGGGAGCAAACA
rnacentral:rRNA from 1 species